rnacentral:rRNA from 1 species
AUUGAACGCUGGCGGCAGGCCUAACACAUGCAAGUCGAGCGAGCGGCGGACGGGUGAGUCUUGUCUGUGUACCUGCCUGAUGGAGGGGGAUACCUACUGGAAACGGUAGCUAAUACCGCAUCCCAUCAGAUGUGCCCAGAUGGGAUUAGCUAGUAGGUGGGGUAACGGCUCACCUAGGCGACGAUACCUAGCUGGUCUGAGAGGAUGACCAGCCACACUGGAACUGAGACACGGCCCAGCCUCCUACGGGAGGCAGCAGUUGGGAAUAUUGCACAAUGGGCGCAAGCCUGAUGCAGCCAUGCCGCGUGUGUGAAGAAGGCCUUCGGGUUGUAAAGCACUUUCAGCGGGGAGGCGUUACCCGCAGAAGAAGCACCGGCUAACUCCGUGCCAGCAGCCGCGGUAAUAC